rnacentral:rRNA from 1 species
UACGUAGGGUGCAAGCGUUAAUCGGAAUUACUGGGCGUAAAGCGUGCGCAGGCGGUUGUGCAAGACCGAUGUGAAAUCCCCGGGCUUAACCUGGGAAUGGCAUUGGUGACUGCACGGCUAGAGUGUGUCAGAGGGGGGUAGAAUUCCACGUGUGAGCAGUGAAAUGCGUAGAGAUGUGGAGGAAUACCGAUGGCGAAGGCAGCCCCCUGGGAUAACACUGACGCCUCAUGCACGAAAGCGUGGGGAGCAAACAGGA